AGAAUUUAUAAAUGUUUAAAGCAUCGUACAUCAAAUACCCUAUCUUAUUGUGUAGGAUAGGUAAAUUUAAAAUUAGAUUUCAAUGGGCAAAACUCAGUUUUAUGGUGUGGGGUUCAAAUCUUAGGCCACUGUUAAAUUUUAUUAUGCAUUAAUUUAAGUAUUAAUUGUAACUGAAUAAACCUAAACAUUUAAAUUUUGAAUGUAAAAUUUAAAACACUAGAAUUAUAUUUUUAUACUCAGAAUAAUGAUAUAAAUUUAAUAUCAAAAUCUUUCUCUAAGCAAUAAUAGUGAUUAUUCAUUUUACUUGACUCUGAAAGGAGUUAAAAGAUAUGCAGAAAAUAGAUCCAAGAACUCCCUCGUUGCUAUUAAUUUUUCAGUGAAAGCGUGUAUCCCAAACUAAGACACAACAGAGUCAGCUCAGAUAGCCUUAUUUCCACAAAAUUUGCAACCCAAGGGCUAGUUUUAUAUGUGUUCUUCACCGGCUGGAUUGUGGCUGAUCAUGGCCAAGUGUUUUGAUGCUGUUGGUUUGGCUCUUAAAUGAAACUGGAUCCUGACGACAAAGUUCAAGAAUUAUUGUCGGCUUCUCUGCAUAACUUAGAAGCAUCUCCAAAGGCAUAUGUACUAUUGCCCUGGCAGACAUAUAUACACGAGUACGGUGUAACACCUCCAUCCUCCAUGCUUGGCAAGUUUAUGUGAAUGUUCAUUUUUAUAGCCGCUAACUUAUUAGCUGUGGAUUACGUUGUCACUUUGUGUGUUACAUUUCCAAGCAUAAGAAGUGUGAGUGAGUUCUAAGACAUGUGAAAUGAAGGAUCAGCUCGCAAAAGCUGGUCUUGAAGGCAUCAGAGAGUAGGGAUAAAGACUUCAUCAUGCGGAUCAUAGAGCCUGCCAAUUCUUUGAUUGACAGCUCUCUGUAUGGCAAGUCUUGAGGGAUUGGGUAUUUAAAUCUUAAUUACAAAAAAGUGUUACAGAAUACUAAAAAUCAUUCAAGGAAACUGGAAGGCUUAUAAUGUAGCAUUCCUCUAUUAAUCUCUUAUACGGAAUAAAAUUUGAUUGACAAGAUCCAUACAAAUAGUGUAAAGAAAUUUAGGAAAUCAGAACAAAACUGAAGGGAAAAUUUUAAGCCAUGUGCCAUAAAUGUGUCCUAUUUUAUAAAUUAAAUUGCUCUACAAUCAUAUACACACAAAUAAAACAGAUUAAAAUGAGCUUUAUUAUAAGAUAUAAUCCUAACUGGCUUAAAGAACUAAAAUCUCAGUAACAAAAUGCAAAUAAACGAAAAUACAAUACAAAUAGCUGCUUUGCUUAGGAAAAAAAUAACACAAGAGCUUAUUACAGAAAAAAGAGGGAGGGUGUAUUCCAAAUGAUAGGAAUAAAACAACUAGAGAAAAAUUUUUUAAAUAAAAAUUGAAAAAUAUUCAAGAACACCAGUUAUGCUCUCAGUGUUCUCAGCUAUGUCAUUCCCUUAUCAAUUCAUUAUUCAAUAAACACUUAUUAAGAGACUGCUCUGUCCAAUCCUUUGCCAAGUGCAGAGAAUAUGGAGGUAAUGAUGUCAUGGUCAGAGUCCAGUGGGAAAGCACUCAUGAAAACAGGUUAUUGCAACAGAACAUCAUUCACAUAUAAAUAAAGAGCUUGGUUGUCUUGUGUUCCCUUCUCGCCCAUUGCCACCCUCCAUCCUUCUCCACCUUGCCUUUCCCUGGGGAGGCUGAUCUGGAUAGACUACUGUAUCAGUGGGUUUCUUUGUCCUUUGGCUUCUUAUUGGGUUCAGCCAACAGGACCCUGGCAGCAGAUCGGAGGAAAGGAUAAACAUGCGGUGAGGCAUUGAAUCUCUUGCUCCUUCCACAGUGGGCUGCCUGCAUCUGUUGACCAAAAGUCAGAGCUAAUGAGUGGUCCUGCCAUUGCCACCAGUCAUGUGAAAUAUGUGGUGAAGAAUUUGAGAAUGAGGACAGGUAGCUACAGCCUGAAGUCAGGAGGAUGAAUGAGUGGAUAGAAUGACAGGAACCUGGUUACUGGGGAGUAUAGGUGGGACAGGUGACAAAUGACAGUGGGGGUGUCAGGAAGCCAGUGCAACUAUGGCAGCUCCACCCAGGAACUGGCUAGUAAGCUGCAGGAAGAACAUCAGAAGGGAAGAGGAAGAGCACAGAGUGAAGAAAUCAUGGAUAACCCUCCACAGGGCAGCAGCCCAAGCAAGGAGGCAAGAGGUUUAGGAUAAAUCAGUUCCAGUUUUGGACUAUGUAAGAUAUUCCAGUUAGUGGAUUUAACUCUCUUUGUUACUAAAGUGACUGUAGGAUACCCUUUUCCUGACAUAGACAUCUGAGAAUGUCUAAAAAAGUCAUUAGAAUAUGCCUGAGUGUUCAUCCAAGGGCAAGGGAAGGUUAACUCCAUUGAACCCAUGUGUAGGGGGAAUGGAUCAUAAAAGCAGGUGCUGUGAUUUCAUUAUGGGUCACACUUGUUUAAUAUACUGUUACACUUGAAAUUUCAAAACUCCUGCUCUAAGAAGAAGUAACAAAUUGCAUGUCAGAAAAAUAUUUUGUCAAGUUUUUACUCCAUUUUUUGAGUAUUAUGCAUUUUCCAUGAACGGUUUAAAAUCCUUUGGAUGAUGAUCUAGUUAAAUAUAGGGAAAAAUUCCACCCUUCCCACCCCUUGCUCAGCCCUUAUAGCACCCAAUGGCCAUCCCACUAGAUGCCACAUGUUUGCUUCUUCUCAGGACAGAUGCCAAGGGAUUCCACGAAGUAAACAUCAGAUCUUCCACAGGGAACUGUAGGUUUAUUUAUUCUCUGGGAUGAUUGUCAGAGAUGACUCAGCUUUCUACACCUCCACUCCAUUCCUUCAGUCAGGUGAUCCCACCUGUUUCUUCUACCUGUACUCAGUUCAAUUCAUCUGCAUGUACUGACACACAGGAAGUACCACUUCCUGCUGGCUUGUCAGUAUUGCUACUUAUUCCCACCCCAUCCUUACACUCACCCAUAUCUGGCACCCAGUCUCAAGAUCUGAUGUUGAUUUACUGGUCUUUCUGGACCAUGCCAUCUGAAGCUUCUGACUCUCUCGCCCAGAAUUCUGUGUGUAAA